rnacentral:rRNA from 1 species
UACAGGGGUCUCAAGCGUUGUUCGGAUUCAUUGGGCGUAAAGGGUGCGUAGGUGGCGCUGUAAGUCGGGUGUGAAAUUUCGGAGCUUAACUCCGAAACUGCAUUCGAUACUGCCGUGCUAGAGGACUGGAGAGGAGACUGGAAUUUACGGUGUAGCGGUGAAAUGCGUAGAUAUCGAGAGGAACACCUGCGGCGAAGGCGGGUUGCUGGGCUGACACUGACGCUGAUGCGCGAAAGCCAGGGGAGCGAACGGG